CCUACGGGUGGCAGCAGUGGGGAAUAUUGCGCAAUGGGCGAAAGCCUGACGCAGCGACGCCGCGUGAGGGAUGAAGGUCUUCGGAUCGUAAAACUCUGUCAGCAGGGAAGAAAGGGCACUGUGCUAAUCAUCAGUGAAUUGACGGUACCUGCAAAGGAAGCACCGGCUAACUCCGUGCCAGCAGCCGCGGUAAUACGGAGGGGGCGAGCGUUAAUCGGAAUUACUGGGCGUAAAGCGCUCGUAGGCGGUAUGUCAAGGCAAGGGUGAAAUCCCCGCGCUCAACGUGGGAAGUGCCUUUGAAACGGGAAAACUGGAGUGUGUGGGAGGAAGGUGGAAUUCCAGGUGUAGGAGUGAAAU
rnacentral:rRNA from 1 species